rnacentral:sRNA from 1 species
GCUGGGCAUGGUUGUGCAUGCCUGUAAUCCCAGUGGCUCAGGAGACUGAGGCAAGAGGAUCGUGAGUUCAAAGCCAGCCUCAGCAAUGGCAAGAUGCUAAGCAGCUCAAUGAGACCCUGUCUCUA